rnacentral:tRNA from 1 species
GCCUGGGUGGCUCAGUGGGUUGAGCAUCUAACUUUGGCUCAGGUCAUGAUCUCAUGGCUUGUGGGUUCAAGCCCUGCGUCAGGCU